GCUGGAGGCCUGGGAAUCCUUCUCAGAGGUGUCAGAAGAGGAGGCUAAUGCUUCUUUUUCUCUGGCAGGGGGAGAAACAGGAAAAGGAGCUUUUGGGCUGGACAUUUUGAGGUGUCAGCCAUCCCAAGGGACACUUUGCCAAGGAGAGGCUGCCACCAUUCUGCUGCUGGGAUCCGAGAGGCUGCGGGAAGCUCCUACUCCCGGGCUGUCAAUCACAUCCUCCUGGUCACAUCUGCUCCUGGACGGGCUGUCCCCUCUUCUCAGUCCCGUCCCUGUGCAGGUGCUACACCACACACUGGCAGGGACCCUGCUGGUCAUCUCUGCCUCCUUUCUCUUCUCCCCAGAGCUGUGAGCCUGCCAGCAACUCCCAGCCAUGCGGAUCCUGCCUCUCCUCUGUGCUCUCCUCCUCCUGAUGCUCCGGGGAGCAGCAGGCAAGGAUUUGCUACCUUCCCCAUGCUUCUUGGCCCUUGCCUUUCUGAGUCAGCAGCCCUGGGCAAAGCAGCCGUGAUGGAGAGGAGGAGGAGGGAGGAAGGCAGAUCCUGCUUCCACCCUCGGAGUCCUCCCUUGUGCCAGAAGGGAUGCAGCAAACAUGUUGGAGAGCCUCUCCUGGAGGCUGAUGAGGGAUGGUAGAGAGUAUUGCCCAUCCAAGUGCCAUAAACAUCACCUUGAUUUGUACUGCAGAUGCAUUUGUGGCAGGGGACAGCUUGGCCACAUAGGGACCAGGGGCUGUGUCCAGCAUCUCAGCAAGGCUGUGCUGAAGGUCUCCUCUUUCUACCCUCUGCAGGGAAGACCCCCUCUCUCGGAUCACCCCAGGACUGUGAGCGCCGUGGGGGCUUCUGCUCUCAUGGGUCGUGCCCUCUGGGGAUCGGUCGUGUUGGCCUUUGCUCUGAGCACGAGUUCUGCUGUCGGAGCCGAUGGUACCCUUGAUGGGCUCCUGGGUUCCCGAUGCCAAUAUCCAAGCAACCCUCUGAGACCAGCCUGUGCCCUCACAGCAUGCUCGGGGCGAUGCUGCAUGGAGGCACCAAGCACCGCUGGGAGUGUCAGCAACCCUGGAUAGCUGGACCACGGUCCUGUGAGAAUUCCCUUACCCCAGCGUCCCCAAUACAAGGUGGUGGUUUGCAUUCCCGCUG